UACGAAGGGGGCUAGCGUUGUUCGGAAUUACUGGGCGUAAAGCGCACGUAGGCGGAUUUGUAAGUCAGGGGUGAAAUCCCGGGGCUCAACCUCGGAACUGCCUUUGAUACUGCAAGUCUUGAGUCCGAUAGAGGUGAGUGGAAUUCCUAGUGUAGAGGUGAAAUUCGUAGAUAUUCGGAAGAACACCAGUGGCGAAGGCGACUUACUGGACACAUAUUGACGCUGAGGUGCGAAAAGCGUGGGGAGCAAACAGGG
rnacentral:rRNA from 1 species